rnacentral:rRNA from 1 species
UUAGGUAAAUGGUAACCACACAAAUAAUGAAAGAAAAGAAAUAGAUUAAGUAUAAUUUAAAGCGUUUACCAAACUUUCAGAUAUUAAAACCAUGAAAGUUUUAUUUUAGAACUAGGAUUAGAUACCCUAUUACUACUAACCGUAAAUCACUACCAGGGUAUUAAAAGAGAUCUUAAAACCUAAAGAGCUUGGCGGCUUUUUACACUACCAGGGGAGCUUGUCUCAUAAACGAUAAUCCGCGAUAAAAUUUUACCCUAGUUUGAUUAAACAGUUUGUAUACCUCCGUCCGCGUUGAUCUUUAAGAGCAUUAGCUUAGAAACAUAGUCUCUUUAAGUCAGGUCCAGGUGCAGCUUAUACAAGGGAGAGGAUGAGCUACAUUAUAAUUUAUUAUUAGAUAUUACAGUGAAAAAUGUAAUUGAAACAGUACUUGGAAGUAAUUUUACUUUAAAACAGAAAAAUGAACAAUAUAUAAAAAGUGCACAAAUCGCCCGUCGAUCCCCCCCAGAGAGGGGAAAAGUCGUAACACAGUA